rnacentral:misc_RNA from 1 species
UCCCCGUUUAACAGGGCAGUCUGACUAUAGUGCGCCGGACCGAAAUCCGGGUAGCAAAUAGACAUAAGGGUUGCGCUCGUUGCGGGACUUAACCCAACAUCUCACGACACGAGCUGACGACAGCCAUGCAGCACCUGUGCAGGUUACACCUUGCGGCAAUCCCCCUACUUUCAUAGGGUUAAUCCCUGCAUGUCAAGGCCAGGUAAGGUUCUUCGCGUAGCAUCGAAUUAAGCCACAUGCUCCACCGCUUGUGCGGGUCCCCGUCAAUUCCUUUGAGUUUUAGCCUUGCGGCCGUACUCCCCAGGCGGUGCACUUAACGCGUUAGCUUCGGCACAAGAGGGGUUGAAUCCUCUUACACCAAGUGCACACCGUUUACGGCUAGGACUAC